GCAUAUCAAUAAGCGGAGGAAAAGAAACCAACAGGGAUUGCCUCAGUAACGGCGAGUGAAGCGGCAACAGCUCAAAUUUGAAAUCUGGCCUCUUUGGGGUCCGAGUUGUAAUUUGUAGAGGAUGUUUCGGGUACCGCUCCGGUUUAAAUUUCUUGGAACAGAAUGUCAGAGAGGGUGAGAAUCCCGUCUUGGACCGGUGGUAGGACCUAUGUGAAACUCCUUCGACGAGUCGAGUUGUUUGGGAAUGCAGCUCAAAAUGGGUGGUAAAUUUCAUCUAAAGCUAAAUAUUGGCCAGAGACCGAUAGCGCACAAGUAGAGUGAUCGAAAGAUGAAAAGCACUUUGAAAAGAGAGUUAAACAGUAUGUGAAAUUGUUGAAAGGGAAGCGCUUGCAACCAGACUUGAGCGCGACGGUUCCCCCUUCCUUUUGGUUGGGUUACUCCGUCGUGUCCAGGCCAACAUCGGUUUCGGGGGUUGGUUAAAGGCGCCUUGAAUGUAUCUACCCUUCGGGCGUAGACUUAUAGCUCGGCGUGUCAUGCGACCUCCCGGGACCGAGGAACGCGCUUCGGCUCGGAUGUUGGCGUAAUGGUUGUCAGCGACCCGUCUUGAAACACGGACC
rnacentral:rRNA from 3 species